GAUGAACGCUGGCGGCGUGCUUAACACAUGCAAGUCGAACGAAGAGUUUAUUCAAUGUUCGUCGGGACAGAGAAUAAAUUACUUAGUGGCGGACGGGUGAGUAGCGCGUGGGUAACCUGUCUCACACAGGGGGAUAACAGUUGGAAACGACUGAUAAUACCGCAUAAGUCCACAGCACCGCAUGGUGCAGGGGUAAAAGAUUUAUCGGUGUGAGAUGGACCUGUGUCGGAUUAGAUAGUUGGUGGGGUAGAAGCCUACCAAGUCCAGGAGCAGUAGCCGAACGGAGGGGGUGAUCAGGCACAUUGAGACAGGGACAAGGCCCAAACUCCACGGGAGGCAGCAGUGGGGAAUAUUGGACAAUGGGGGAAACCCUGAUGCAGCAACGCCGGGGGAGUGAAGAAGUAUUUCGGUAUGUAAUGCUCUAUCAGCAGGGAAGAAAAUGACGGUACCUGACUAAGAAGCCCCGGCUAACUACGUG
rnacentral:rRNA from 1 species